rnacentral:rRNA from 1 species
GUAGGUGGCAAGCGUUGUCCGGAAUUAUUGGGCGUAAAGCGCGCGCAGGCGGUCCUUUAAGUCUGAUGUGAAAGCCCACGGCUCAACCGUGGAGGGUCAUUGGAAACAGGGGGACUUGAGUACAGAAGAGGAAAGCGGAAUUCCAAGUGUAGCGGUGAAAUGCGUAGAGAUUUGGAGGAACACCAGUGGCGAAGGCGGCUUUCUGGUCUGUAACUGACGCUGAGGCGCGAAAGCGUGGGGAGCAAACAGGAUUAGAUACCCUGGUAGUCCACGCCGUAAACGAUGAGUGCUAAGUGUUAGGGGGUUUCCCGCCCCCCUUAGUGCUGCAGCUAACGCAUUAAGCACUCCGCCUGGGGAGUACGGCCGCAAGGCUG